rnacentral:rRNA from 1 species
UGGGGAAUAUUGCACAAUGGGGGAAACCCUGAUGCAGCGACGCCGCGUGAACGAAGAAGGUAUUCGUAUCGUAAAGUUCUGUCCUAUGGGAAGAUAAUGACAGUACCAUAGAAGAAAGCUCCGGCUAAAUACGUGCCAGCAGCCGCGGUAAUACGUAUGGAGCGAGCGUUGUCCGGAAUUAUUGGGCGUAAAGGGUACGCAGGCGGUUUAAUAAGUCGAAUGUUAAAGAUCGGGGCUCAACCCCGUAAAGCAUUGGAAACUGAUAAACUUGAGUAGUGGAGAGGAAAGUGGAAUCCCUAGUGUAGUGGUGAAAUACGUAGAUAUUAGGAGGAAUACCAGUAGCGAAGGCGACUUUCUGGACACAAACUGACGCUGAGGUACGAAAGCGUGGGGAGCAAACAGG